rnacentral:rRNA from 1 species
GAUGAACGCUGGCGGCGUGCCUAAUACAUGCAAGUCGAGCGAACAGACGAGGAGCUUGCUCCUCUGACGUUAGCGGCGGACGGGUGAGUAACACGUGGAUAACCUACCUAUAAGACUGGGAUAACUUCGGGAAACCGGAGCUAAUACCGGAUAAUAUAUUGAACCGCAUGGUUCAAUAGUGAAAGACGGUUUUGCUGUCACUUAUAGAUGGAUCCGCGCCGCAUUAGCUAGUUGGUAAGGUAACGGCUUACCAAGGCAACGAUGCGUAGCCGACCGGAGAGAGUGAUCGGCGACACUGGAGCUGAGACACGGUCCAGACGCCUACGGGAGGCAGCAGUAGGGAAUCUUCGGCAAUGGGCGGAAGCCUGACGGAGCAACGCCACGUGAGUGAUGGAGGUCUUCGGAUCGUAAAACUCUGUUAUUAGGGAAGAACAAAUUUGUAAGUAGCUAUGCACGUCUUGACGGUACCUGAUCAGAAAGCAACGGCUAACUACGUG